rfam:Pseudomonas floridensis strain GEV388 GEV-388_contig_19, whole genome shotgun sequence.
UUGGUUAGAAAUCACCUCAGGUCAUUACUGCAACGGUUAUGACACCAAGGCCCGCGACGCCGGCAGCGGGCACCAACGGCAGAAAUUUUCUGCCCGACCUCACCAUGAGGUCUCAGGGAUAUAACAGUCAAC